UGAGAAUAAUGAUCAGGUACCGUAAGAAUAAUUCGCAAAUAUUCUUUCAUAAGUAUAAUCAAAUUAUCGUCGAUUCAUUGUAUUUCACUUUUUUAAAAUUUUUAAAUUUUUUCACAAUAUGAUCUCAUUACUAUUCUCCUUCUUACAUAUUUUGAUUUUGAUUUACAGUAUUUUUUACGAGCAUUCUUUUGAGAAAAUCAGACUUCGUCAGUUAAUUCCUUCAAAAUAUUAUUUAUUACACAUUUAUUUUUUAUAUUCAUUGAUAGUUCGUCGUCCCGUUUAGCAUAUAAAUAUAAUAGUUUAAUAUAAACAGGAUAGCAAGAACACGCAUAACACUGCUUUCUUUGAAGCAAUACAAUUUCACUUUCUCUUGUUUCGAAACUUCUGCUUUAUAUAUGCUAUGUAUAUAAAAUAUUUUUUUCUUAUAUUAUGAAUAUAUAGAUAUUUUAAAAUAAGUAAUAAUAAAACGUGAUAAUAAUCUAUCGCUUCAGAAAAUUUGUUUAUGCAAAGGAAAAUAUAAAAUCGUAAAUAUGUAUCGUUUCUUUGUGCAAUUUCCUCAAUGAAAUCAAGUUUCAUUCAAGAUACUUGGACGUCGAUUACGACAACGGUAUUUGAAUCGCUUGAGCGAUCUUCGUUCGCAUGUAAAAGUCACGGUUUAAGGGAUAUUCUGUUUGCGAAAAGUGUAUAGGUUAGGUUUAAGUAUCAUAUAAGUUUGUUUUCUUACGUUUAUUGCGAACUCGAGAAAACAGAUUCCGGGGAGAGUACACUAUCAGUCAAAAGUUUCGAAUCACUAACGUAAUCCAAGAUCUCAAGAAUCGAAAGAAGAGGUUAGGUUAGAAUUUUGUCGCGUCGAAAAAUUUUUUCAUGAAGAGUCUAUCGAUGUAAAUUUAUUGAUAUCUAUAGUAUUAAUAUACUCAAUACAAUUGACAGAAGGUUCAAUACGUAACUGGAAAAGAGAUUUCAAAUUUUUGAUUGGUAAUGUAUGAUCUACACCUACGAGAUACGUUACGUUCCUCGUUAUGUUAUUUUCUUCUAAAACUUGUUCUGGAAUGAAGUAAGGUUAUUGUGAGAGAGAAGAUACAUUGUAGGUCAUCAUAAACAGAAUAAAGAAAUAUUGCGAGACUUUGGCCGAAUAAUAGAAUCACAAGUAUGAACACUUGACAACGCGAAAAAAAGAAGAGGGUAAAAGUAGAAAGUUAUGUAUAAAACGAAUUACGGAAUCGCCACUUACGAAGCUUCAGACAAGCAAAGGAAACGAACCUUCAA